rnacentral:snoRNA from 1 species
CCGCUUGAUGAUGAGGAUAUGAUGUCCUAUAUUCUUGCAGGCCUUGAUGAUGAUUAUGAACCUGUGGUCUUCUCCCUUGUUGGAAGAACGGGAUGGUUUCGUUUUCUGAAUUAUAUUCGCAACUUCUGAAUUUUUAAU